AAAGGUGGAAUUAAAUUUGUUUUUAUUGAAGAAAAGUACUUUUGCUGAAGCUGAUGAAAUUUAGGUUAAAACUAGGAUUAGAUACCCUACUAUUCUAAAGAAGAAAAAUAUUACCAUAAUAUUAAUAGCUAUAGGCUUUAAAUUUGAAGAAUUUGGCGGUGAUUUAAUCUUAUCAGAGGAACCUGCUUUUUAAUCGAUACACCACGAAAUAUCUUACUUGAGUUUGUAUACCAUCAUUAGCAGAUAAUUUUAAAAAGAAAAAUUAUUACGAUUAUAGUUUUAAAUAUAACAAAAUUAGAUCAAGGUGCAGCUUAUAAAUAAGUUAAAGUGGGUUACAAUAAAUUUUAUUUAUAGACGGAUAAAUAAAUAGGAAGGAGGAUUUGAUUGUAAUGGCGAGUUUAAUAUGCUCGAGAGAUAUAAGUUCUAAAUCAUGUACAUAUCGCCCGUCGCUUUC
rnacentral:rRNA from 1 species